UAGUACAAGAGUGAAACAUGCCCAUAAAGUAUUAGAGUAGCUAAGCGUUUUCUUUUGAUCAAGCUUUCAGCUUUAAAAGGGCAGUCCACCAGGGCUGGUAAAACAGGCACUGCUCCCAUCAAAAGGAUGUCUCAACUGGCUCUUUUUGCCAUAACUGAGCAGUAAGGAGGGGGAAACAGCUUUGAGCUUUUUCGUUACUCCUUGUGUAGCUUAGGUUUGCUCAGCCAUCUAACGCUUCAGUAUUUUUCUGUGCGGUACAUUCCUAUCACCUCAGGCAGAGCAGACCUGGGAGCAGCAGCGACAUUUUUCUUUAUCUGUGUAUAGGAAAAAAUGCAGAAAGUAUGCACGAAGCAAUGGCAAUUGUUUCCAUAAUCAUGAUAAAAAAAACUAAAAGUUGAAGGCAAAGGGUACAUUUAUACUGCCGCUGAAAUUCACAGUGUAGCUGGGAAGCCGGCGCCGACGAUUAAGGCGUUCAUUAAUGCCCUCUGCUGUCUGCCUGAGCGAAUUUCAGUGAACAUCGCCUGCCUCUCCCCAGGAGAAGCGUCUCUUUAGAAAGCUGUUUAGGAUAACAGAGCUUUCCUUCCUUCCUGGAGCAUUUCCCCACCCUCCGGGACCGGCCAGGCCGUGGCUCCAUGACCGCAGGCCGCAGGCCACAGCCCCCGGCCCGGUGCCGUCCCCGGGCGGCCGCAGGCCUGCUCGGGCCGAGCCGUUCAACACCAGCUGAAGUUGUCCAAAGGUGACAUGAACCUCACUGCUUGCUGAUACAGGAACAAGAUGAACUGGAAACUGCGGACAUUGAGAAAAUGAACUAGCAUCAGAAAAUUAAUUCCUUUGAUCAGAGUGACCUGCUAGAGCAAUGUGAAAGGUACUUAUUCUAAAUUGUGCAUAAGAAUAUUUUUUGUUCCUGCUCAGCUUCUAUUCAGCAACGAAGAUUGAUAAGCUGGAUUUCAUAUUUCCACAAAUAACAUUCCUUUGUGGAUUUUCCUGGGUUACAACGAUGGUAAACUACAACAGUAAACAGUUGUCUUUUGUAGUUAAAGCUGAUUA
rnacentral:lncRNA from 1 species